UCUUUUACCUGGUGCUUGACCAAAGGAGCACUUCACACAUGACAUGUCAUUGAGCGAACAUUCAAUUUUCACCCUCUCUGCUUGUCAACCCAGAAAGAGUGUCUUCUCAACACUUAGGGCAAAGAAACUCACUGUAUACAUUGUUAAACUGACUUCUGACUGUUCAAAGAAGGCUUCAGAAGUAACUAGUAACAACUUCUCAAGUCCUUGGUUUCAAUGGCGGUUGUGGUGACUAUAGCUUUGAAGUGGUUGAUCAUCUUCGCUAUUCUUCUGGUUUGGCCCUAUCUGAUUAUCAUCUAUUCCUCAAAAUGAAAAAAACACUUGGCUGGAAACAAGUAUUGCAGUAAUGAUGAUGUCAUAUCUGCUAUCCUGUUGGUUAACAAGAUAAAAGCUUCUUCACCAAUGGGAUCAAAGCACUGCAACACCAAUGGAAGAAGUGCGUGUACUGCAAGGGAGACUAUACUGAAAAAUAAACCUCAUCUGGUCAUAUUCCAUGAGAAUAUAUUGGUCAGCCUAUGAACUUUUCAGCUGACCCUCAUAUUAUCCAAUAUGGCCUUCUCUCUGUAAGAAGCUAGGAUGUAAUAUCAAGGAUAUUUGGAUGCUAUGUUGAGUAGGGCAAGAGAUCAAAUGUUGGCACCACCACUGGCUGGUCAAAAUAGAGGUGAGUCAUUUACACAAAUAGGCAUUUAGUUGCACUAUUAUGCAGUUUUCAAUUGCCUACAAACUUGACCAAAGGACAUACAUUGACUGCUGAUUUUGACACAAGGCCAGCAACUUUGAAUGGAGGAGAAUAGUCAAAACCAUCAACCCCCAAUAUUUAACUGAUAUACUUACAAGCAUCUAUAUAUACAUAUACAUGUAUGCACUAACCCUUUCUUACACACACACAUAUAGACACAUAAAACACAUAUUUGUAUAAUCACUUUUGGAUUAACAUGCAUUUGAAGAUGGAAAGGAAGCUGCCCUCAUGAUCGUUAAGUGUAAGAUAAGGUAUCUGCAUGACAAAGCAGUCCAUGCAUCCUUCUAUUUUUAUUUGAGAAGGUGGUUCUUUCACAUCUAGGUUUAUGAUGCUAUAUAUGAUGAAGCUGUUUAUUUGCUUUGUAUGUUUUAAUGAUGUUGAACCUGAAAGUGUAUUGUCCUGUUACUUUUCACAUUCUUAGUUUUGUGUGCAUGUAUGUGGAUGUUGAGGAUUCUUUGGAGGAUUUUGUGUAACUAGUCUUAAAAGAAAUAAACAAUUUUUAAAAAAGAAAUGAAGCUCCAUCACUGGAAUCUAGACAUCAAUUUUAUUAAACUAAACUGUAGGAAAUUUCAAAUAUUUUCAGUUUCACUUAUGGAAUUUAUAUUAGAUUGCAUUUUUACUUCCCUUGAAAACCUUAUGUUUUCAAGAUUAUUAUUUAAAUACUUAGUACAACCAAGUAUGUCAGUAAUUACUGUUACACAUAUACAGUUAUAAUCUGGGUGGAGAAGUUAUGGUUGCAAAGCACUUGUCCAUAAA